rnacentral:rRNA from 1 species
UACGUAGGGAGCAAGCGUUGUCCGGAAUCAUUGGGCGUAAAGCGCGCGUAGGUGGCCUCAUAAGUCCGCUGUGAAAGUCAAAGGCUCAACCUUUGAAAGCCGGUGGAUACUGUGAGACUAGAGUACGGAAGAGGCGAGUGGAAUUCCUGGUGUAGCGGUGGAAUGCGCAGAUAUCAGGAGGAACACCAAUAGCGAAGGCAGCUCGCUGGGACGUUACUGACACUGGGGCGCGAAAGCGUGGGGAGCGAACAGG